GGUUGUUUUAUUUACAUAGGUGAAUCUCUAUGCUUAUCAUUUGAACAAAAGCGGCAUAGUGAUGUUGGACCUGCUCUGGUGUGGACAAACCCUCGACCGAUUAUCCAAUAAAAUGAAAGAUGCUGAGAUCACCCCAUCUCAAGAUCGGAAUGUAAGAUCGAGACUGACAUAGAUCGACUGUCUCAUCAACCUAUCCCAUCAGUACCAUUGAUGCGGGUCGGGCGGCGGUCAGAUCUGCCACAACCAGAACCGGUGUCCUCUUCCUCCCUAUCCAGCUUCCUCCCAUGGUUAAGAAGAGGGCUUCGUCAAGGAUCCCAUGAUGAAGGUCAACGUGGGAGGCUGCUUCCUUCGAUGGAGGCCAUGAGUGCCACGUGGGCACACACAUGGCUGCGCUUCAAGCUCGACAGAUGCAGGGACGCCACCAUGGAACAGUCAGGGCCUCCCUUUUCCUCCCGUUUCGUCCGAUCCUCCACUGCCAGCCAUUUCCGGCACCCCUGCACCACGGCGGCGAAGGGCACAAUGAUGAAUUGAACGCAAGAUCCUUCUGGUGAUCCAACAGACGCAAACAUCAGAUGCCUAAGAAAAGGAUUUGCAAAUAAAAUAGGAAUCCAAACUUGCAAAAUUCUCUUUUACAGAUCGCUAGUACUACUGGGACUCUAGGUACAAGGCACAAUGUAAUUGCUCCAAAUACGCUCAUACAAGUUGCAACAAUGAAUUCUCGAAUGUUUCGAGCAAUGGAUCCAAAGAUUUAGCUGGAAUGGACUCUAGACCACGGACAAUUUAAUCUUCUCUCUUAAUUAGGAUGGCACAUUCAGUAUGUUGAAUGCAUGCUAAAUUAUAUUACAGUUCAUUGUGAUGGAUAUUGGCUAUGCAAACUUUGAUGUUUGAUGAAUCUACAUCAUAUAUGCAUUAUCUGAAUCAUGUAAUUGAAUGCCUAUAUUUUUUUC